GACUCAGUAACGAAGCUAACGCGUGAAGUUGACCGCCUGGGGAGUACGGCCGCAAGGUUGAACUCAAAGGAAUUGACGGGGACCCGCACAAGCGGUGGAUGAUGUGGUUUAAUUCGAUGCAACGCGAAAAACCUUACCCACCUUUGACAUGUACGGAACUCGCCAGAGAUGGCUUGGUGCUCGAAAGAGAGCCGUAACACAGGUGCUGCAUGGCUGUCGUCAGCUCGUGUCGUGAGAUGUUGGGUUAAGUCCCGCAACGAGCGCAACCCUUGUCAUUAGUUGCUACAUUUAGUUGGGCACUCUAAUGAGACUGCCGGUGAUAAACCGGAGGAAGGUGGGGAUGACGUCAAGUCCUCAUGGCCCUUAUAGGUGGGGCUACACACGUCAUACAAUGGCUGGUACAAAGGGUUGCCAACCCGCGAGGGGGAGCUAAUCCCAUAAAACCAGUCGUAGUCCGGAUCGCAGUCUGCAACUCGACUGCGUGAAGUCGGAAUCGCUAGUAGUCGUGGAUCAGAAUGUCACGGUGAUACGUUCCCGGGU
rnacentral:rRNA from 1 species